GAUAAUUUGAACGAUGUAAGAGAUUUCCAACGACGAUUUACAAACAUGAUUUCGAUCAAUGGAGCUUAUGGAGUAGACACAUUUUUUGUCUUGAGGUAAGAGUAAUUACUCUUGAGGCAUGUAAAGUGUAAAUGUACUCUUACCACACUAUAUAUUGCGUAGUUUCGCAAUGAAACGUAUUUUUAUAGGAUUCUCUAUUUUUGGUACACUAUAGUGAAAAAGGUUACGUAUAGAAAGGAUCACCGGCAAUAAUUUAUAAGAAAACAUUCUACUUAUAAAAUUAAACAUAAUGUACUUCUAUUGCUGCCAUUCGUUUCUAAGGAGACAUACUGCUAACCAAUCAGAUUUUAGUUGAAAUUCCUCAAAUAUGAUUAGCUCAGAAACUAUAGCUAUUAACUGCAAAUUUAUAAUUGCCAGAACUAUGGCAAAUUCUAUUUACAUAAUAAAUGGACCUGGAUGUAUAACCUUUUGCGCGUAAAGAUAGAAGAUAUGAUAAGGGAAACGUAAAUGAAUUACAACCAAAACAAAACUAAAACAUAGGACUGCAUGGGGAAAUAAUAAACCAUCCAUUUAUAAUAGCAAAUAAGUUCCACGAUUAUUUUGUAAAUGUUGAACCAGGGAUAGCCAGAAAUAUUCUGAACAGUAAAAGAACCUUUAAUAAAUACCUAUAAGACUGAAUAGAGAUAAGACUGAAUAGAGAUAAAUAGCAACUGAGAUAAAAAUUCAAAUUCUAAAAAGAGUUCAGGAUAUGACGGUAUAACUCUAUACAAGUCAUCAAGAACAUUGCUAAUGAAAUUUCCGAACCUUUUUCACACAUAUUUAACCUAACUUUUCUCAGUAGAACUAUAAUUCCUUAUAACCUAAAAGUCAGGGCUCUAGUUUAUAUACCCCAAUUUUCAAAGCAAAUGAAAAUAAUGAAUUUAAAAACACAGUUAAGAAAGUAAUAUCACAAUUGUUGUAAAAAUAAAAUAGUCUAGGCUAAGUAUGUAGUUAGAUAAGCGUAUAAUAUUUUAUGUAAAGCGUAUUUGAUCAUAUCCACAUGUAAAUUUGCGCUAUAGCUAUAGAAAUGCUAAUCGUGAUCGUAGUCGUACUCGUUUCAUACAAGUAAUUUCAUUAUUUCAUACAGUUAAAGCAAUUUAUCAUCCAAUUUCCAUCCAACUUUAACCAAAAUUUAAUCAUUCAGUUUGUCCUGGAGUAUAAUGUCCAGUAUAGUUC